GCCCCAGGGACGGUGCCAGCCUCUCUUGUGCUGUGCCUACAGUUUUAGGCCCUUGGGCCUGACCUGUGGAACAGCACCUAGCCUCACAGGAGUCAGAAUGUAAGGUAGUUUAUUUAAGGUGUAUAGACCGGUGCACGGGGGGCUCACACUGCCCCCGUUGCGCAACCAGUGGCUCUCAAGCAGCCAUACUAUAUGCACACUCAUAAUUCCACGAAGCAAGUAAUGCUAACUCAUUCCUCCUUUGCAGAGUGCUAUUGAUAAGCAGAAGUCUUGCCCCCUUUCUACCAAACUCCUCCCAGGUCCUGCCUAUUCCUUGUAAACCACUCCCCAGACUCCGCCUCUGAAGUAAGUGUUCCUCCUGUCUUUAAUUUCCGAGCAGGGGACCCCCCCCUGUACCGGUACAGGGGUCCCUCCUGUACAAGGACCAUCCUAGGGUCUCUGCCUUCACUCAGGCCACUGCUGACCUUCCUGAUUAGAGCUUCAGGCUCUGGGGCCCGUGCCGGUCUCUUGGGCUGAGUGUGUGGCUGUAGGUCCCAGGGCCGGUGCUGGCCUCUCUGGCAGUGGCUUUAGGCGCCAGGGAGUGCGCUGGCCUCUUGGGCUGGGGCUUCAGGCCCCGGGUCCAGCACCAGCCUCUCGGGCUGUGGCUUUAGGCUUUGGGGCCGAUGCCAGACUGCCUGGCUGUGACUGUGGUUUCAGCCCCUGGUUGUAGGGCUAUUCUGUUUAGACAAGAGGCCCGCAGUAAAAGGAGAACAGACUUAACAAACAUCAAAGAAGCCAUGGCCUCUACACAAGGUUGGAUUGCCUCGCUCUGGG
ensembl:lncRNA